rnacentral:rRNA from 1 species
ACGAUCCGUAGCUGGUCUGAGAGGAUGAUCAGCCACACUGGAACUGAGACACGGUCCAGACUCCUACGGGAGGCAGCAGUGGGGAAUAUUGGACAAUGGGCGCAAGCCUGAUCCAGCCAUACCGCGUGGGUGAAGAAGGCCUUCGGGUUGUAAAGCCCUUUUGUUGGGAAAGAAAUCCAGCUGGCUAAUACCCGGUUGGGAUGACGGUACCCAAAGCAAUAAGCACCGGCUAACUUCGUGCCAGCAGCCGCGGUAAUACGAAGGGUGCAAGCGUUACUCGGAAUUACUGGGCGUACAGCGUGCGUACGUGGUUAUUUAAGUCCGUUGUGAAGCCCUGGGCUCAACCUGGGAACUGCAGUGGAUACUGGAUGACUAGUAUGUGGUAGAGGGUAGCGGAAUUCCUGGUGUAGCAGUGAAAUGCGUAGAGAUCAGGAGGAACAUCCAUGGCGAAGGCAGC